AUGUAUAACUGCGUCACGUUCGUGAUUAUUUCUUCCCUUUCAGGUAACAGUGUCCCCACCCUCACCGUCCUGCCCCCCUCUAGUGAAGAGCUGUCCAGUACAACAACAGCCACACUGACGUGUCUGGCCAACAAGGGCUUCCCCUCAGACUGGACCAUGAGCUGGAAAGUGGACGGGACCAGCAAGAAGCAGGAGGCCAGUCCCAGGGUCCAGGAGAAGGAUGGCCUGUAUAGCUGGAGCAGCACCCUGACUCUCACUGCCCAGGAGUGGACCAAUGCAGGAGAGGUGACCUGUGAAGCGCAGCAGAAAUCCCAGACUCCAGUCACCAAGACCCUGAGGAGGGCUGACUGUUCUGGGUAGGACCCCUCAGUCACACACCCCUGUGGAGAGAGGAUGCUGGUUCCUCUUCUUUGACUUGCUUUGUUCUAAAAUCAGUCAUUCUUCAAUCUAGUGAUCACUCUGGUGUAGACUAACAGGGGGCUUGGCUUGAGUUCAUGUGUCAAUCCAUUCUGUAGAUUGAGAUUUUGUUAGUUUUAGAUUUGAUGUGAUCUGUUUUUAUUCACUAUCAUGUUUGCUUUGAUGCUUUGAUUGUGUGAUAAUGG